UUAUAUAUUGCCCAUGCUUUUUCAUUCAUUCAACUUUUACAGACAUUUAAUAAACUCAAGUUAUUAGAAAACUACUGUAAUUGGGAUCUUUUUUCUUCUCAAGCACAUGAAAUCAUCUCUCUUGCUAAAAUAUUUUUAACACAUAUAAGUCAUUUGAAGGGAAUAACAUAUUAUCUUUCUGAGGACCCACCCAAAAUUUCACAGAAAAGUUUACAUUUGGAAAAAUAUUAGUUAUUCUGAAAACUCAGUAAAGUAAUCUUAGAGGUAAUAAGACCCUGACUUCUUUACUAACUAGUUAGGGGUAAAAAUGGACUAUUAUGUCCCUCUCUAUAUUUUCAUAUGAAGAACCAAAAGCAAGGGGCAGAUCUUCUCAAACACUGCACAUUGGCCUUCAACCCAAUGAUCUAGAACUUUGGAGGUAGGUUCCUGACAACUGUUGUGAAACCUGCUGGUGACAAUCUCUGUAUUUCAUAGUUUCUUUAAAGUUUGGGGUGUAUGUAAAUCAGCCUUUCAAAUGGAUGAAAGAGAUUUUGGUAGUGAUGGAAUUGCCAUGGUACAUUAAUUUAUUAUUUUCCCCGGAUUCUUUUCAUUGAUAAGGUGUUUUUAUUUUUUUAAUUUAUUUUUUUUCCGCUGUACAGCAUGGGGACCAAAUUACACUUACAUGUAUACUUUUUUUUCCACCCUGAUAAGGUGUUUUUAAACUGAUGGAUAGCAUGAUAAUAGGUUCAUUCUUUUUCAUUUCUUCCAGUCAGACUAUCCUUUAGACUAUAGUGUCAGCUGGUUUUUCUAGGGGGACAAAGAAAAAAGGGGGGCAGAAAAAAUUCGUACAAAUUAUUGAAUUUUUUUUGCAUUAACAACCUCCUCAGGUGGCACUGAACCCCCCUACCCUCGCCAUGAUCCUUAACCUUCUUCCCGAUGACCCCUGAAAAGAGGAGAGGAAGGUGAGGAGGGCCAGAGAAAUUAUACACACUGGGCAGAACUUCUGUUGGAGAAGAUAUCAAGGGUGUAGAGAACUUCCAGAAAAGGGAAAAUCCAUUGUAGAAGAAAGGGAAAGAGGCCUUGGAAGGGUUGUCAAGUUACUAAGCAACAAAAGAUCACAAGCAGUUGGAAUAUUGAUGUCUAGCCUUCAUUUAGAUAUGAAAGAUAUACAGCAUGGUAAGUAAAAAAAAUUACAGCCUUUGAAUACUAGGGCUGAAAGAUGUGAUGCUUGGUGGUGAAAUUAUUUCACACUUACUUUCUGUGUGUAUUGAGAUUAGUAUGUUUCCUGUAAGUAUACCCAGACUUUCUACCAUGAUUGUUUCUGGAAGGGUAUGACUAAUUUGGCUCUUGCAUUAUUUCUUUGUCUUGCAAAUAAUGUAAUUCUCGUGUGACAUGUUUACUCUGCAUUAGUAAACAUUUAAUUUUUUAAUUCAUAAGAAAUACUGGUCCUACUGUGCUCUGUACCUGUUUAGACUUCUCUGUGCCAUUUUCAAAAAAUGAUGAAGACUGGUGAGAGCCAGAUGUGGGCUGUGCCUCAGCCACUGACAGUACCUGGAGCGCAUGGUCCACAGGAGAGGAAAACAUGCUGAGGGGUGAAUCUCAGAUGUUUGGUGAGCUAACAUAAAGAAGAGGAAGUAAACCUAAAAUUUUCUAAUAGACCAGCUAAGACCAGGAAACUUGUUUGUUUCGUUGUUGUUUUAAGAAUGUCCUUAUUGGGAGUUCCCGUUCUGGCUGAACGGGUUACGAACUGGACUGGUAUCCAUUAGGAUGCCGGUUUGAUCCCUGGCCUUGCUCAGUGGGCUAAGGAUCUAACAUUGCCUUGAGUUGUGGUGUAGGUCAUAGACACAGCUUGGAUCCUGCAUGGCUGUGGUGUAGGCAGGCAGCUGUAACUCCAAUUUGACCCCUAGCCUGGGAACUUCCAUAUGCCGCAGGUGCGGCCUUAAGAAAGGGAAAAAAGAGAGAAUGUCCUUAUGAUUAGAGAUGCCAUGAAAACACAAGACUGUUCGAGAGGCUAAGUGACCACUUGUCGCAGAUGUCUUUAAAGCACUGAAUGGGUGAUGGGGUAUUCUCUUCAUCCUCCUAUUCUGAGAUACUGUGAGAUGUGGAAAGAGUCACUAAAGCACUUUUAUUACGUAUAACUUUUUAGGGUGGACAACUGGUCCCUCUUCAUUCAGUUCUUUGGGA
rnacentral:lncRNA from 1 species